GGGCGAGGCUGGGACGUAGAGGGAGCUCACGCCCGUGGUCAUAACUCUCAGUCACUAGGGAUAUGCAUUAUUGGUAACUUCAUGACCCGUGAGCCUAACAGUGCUGCCAUGGAUACAGCCCAUGACCUUAUCAACUACGGGGUUUCCCAGGGGAAACUCACUCCCAUCUACAGUGUGGAGGGCCACCGUGACGUGAACGACCGCACAGCGUGUCCGGGUCGGAGACUGCACGAUAUUCUGUACAGACUGCAGUAGGGGCGUAACACGGAAUCAAACUGUCAGUGGGUUCAUAAUCGGUUCACACACACACCAUCCUCCACCCCCAACAAAACAAGAAGAAAAAAAAGAAAAAAGAUGUCAGUAAUCGACUUUUUGCUUAACUAUUGACAGUUUCAUUUAAAUGCAUAAUGCCCAUAAUCAUAUAAUAUCAGUGGGAUUGGGGUGGACAUUAAACAUGAACUAUGGAAAUGAAGAGCACUAGAGGAUUUAUAAGAUGAAUCGCUUCCAUUUAGUGGUAUUUUGACCACAUUAACACCUUCCCAUGCCAUUUUUCUACUUUCCUAAAUCGCCAUUUUAAAUAAAAACCAAAUUCCAAUAGAAACCAUGGUCUUGGAAUAGAAGGAAGUUCUUUGUCAGCAGGGUCAAACAAAAUGCUGAUUGCUAUGAAUGCCAUGCAAUUCAAGAUUGAUGAUUUUCGGAAUGUUUAUAAGUUCCAGGGAACAAUAAUAUUCAUUUCUUGAUCCAUUAUCCAAAAAAAAUGAAAUGAUGAGACUAGGUUGCGGUGUUGACAAAUACAUUUAUGGAGUUGACCCUAUUCAGAUUUCCUUUGGCAAACACUAAUGAAUUUGCUCAGAAAAUAGUUUAUAUCUUUUAUUAGUACAAAAUAAAAUGAGAAUGAUAA
rnacentral:lncRNA from 1 species